rnacentral:sRNA from 1 species
GCUGGGUGUGGUGGUGCAUACUUGUAAUCCCAGCAACUUGGGAAGCUGAGGCUGGAAGAUUGCAAGUUCAAGGUCAACCUCAG